UUAAUCAUCCAAUGGUAGGUUUGAAGUAUGGAAGGUUCAAUCAGCCCUAAACCAAAUAAAUCAUGACCUAGGUGGAUUUCAUUAGUCCAUGAGUUCAAGACUCCAUAAGCUCCUCUAAAAAUAUCCAAAUGACUUGAAAUAAUACAAAAUCUAAUACAAGAGGCAAAAAUAAUGGGGGUCUAUGUUGGAUAUAUUUUCAGAAUAAAUAAAAU
rnacentral:lncRNA from 1 species